UAGGGAAUCUUCGGCAAUGGACGAAAGUCUGACCGAGCAACGCCGCGUGAGUGAAGAAGGUUUUCGGAUCGUAAAACUCUGUUGUUAGAGAAGAACAAGGACGUUAUUAACUGAACGUCCCCUGACGGUAUCUAACCAGAAAGCCACGGCUAACUACGUGCCAGCAGCCGCGGUAAUACGUAGGUGGCAAGCGUUGUCCGGAUUUAUUGGGCGUAAAGCGAGCGCAGGCGGUUUCUUAAGUCUGAUGUGAAAGCCCCCGGCUCAACCGGGGAGGGUCAUUGGAAACUGGGAGACUUGAGUGCAGAAGAGGAGAGUGGAAUUCCAUGUGUAGCGGUGAAAUGCGUAGAUAUAUGGAGGAACACCAGUGGCGAAGGCGGCUCUCUGGUCUGUAACUGACGCUGAGGCUCGAAAGCGUGGGGAGCAAACAGG
rnacentral:rRNA from 1 species